AUGACUGUGUAUGAUUUUUUUGAUCAAGUGUCUUUAUUGUUGAACAUUAUUGGAGUUUCUUGUAAGCGUCAUGACAUGCUUAGAGAUGCUAGACUUCAUAAUAUCAUGAAACUACUUGAAUGUGGUGAGUUACAAACUGGGAGUGGUCUGAAUCAAGAGAUGGGGUUACCUAGGCCUGGUGAUACUAGGUGGGGCUCUCAUUACAAAAUUGUUCUCAACAUUAUUGCUAUGUACCCCACAAUUCAUGAUGUAAUCAUCACUCUUGGACAAGAUGCAUCACAAAGGAGUGAUUGGCCAAAAAUCCAUACUAUUGUUGGAGUGUUCGAGUCAUUUGACUUUAUUUUCAAUGCCCACUUGAUGCUUGUCAUUCUUGGAUACACAAGUGAUUUGUCUGAUUGUUUGCAAAGAAGAGACCAAGACAUUCUUUCUGCAAUGGCAAUGGUUAGAUUGGCAAAAGAUAGAAUACAAGAACUGAGGUCUAAUGGGUGGGAUGCAUUUCUUCAAAGAGUCACAUUAUUUUGUAACAAGCAUAGCAUUCAAGUUCCUACGAUGGAUGAUAAUUAUGUGCCUUAUGGAAGAUCAACACGGUUUGUUCGACCCCAAACAAAUGAUGAUCACUUUAGAAGAGAAGUAUUUCUUGGAGUAAUUGAUCAAAUUAGUCAAGAGCUUGAAAAUCCGUUUGACGAGAUCAAUAUGGAGUUGCUAUCUGGUAUGUCUGCUUUGAAUCCUGCCAACUCAUUUGCUGCUUUUGAUGCACACAAGGUAUGCAAACUUGCUGAGUUCUAUCCAGAAGACUUUUCAAGUGCUGACUUGAUACACCUUGAACUACAACUUGGUAACUAUAUUGGUGACAUCAGAAAAGAUGAGAACUUUCAAGGCCUUGGAAAUCUUGUUGAUCUCUCAGUUAAGCUUGUUCAAACAGGGAGGCAUAUAGUUCAUAAUUUCGUGUGCUUACUUCUAAAAUUGGUAUUGAUUCUACCAGUGGCAACGGCAAAUGUUGAUAGAGCAUUUUCUGCCAUGAGUUUAGUCAAAAACAAGUUGAGAAAUAAGAUGGGUGAUAGUCUUUUGGAUGAUUGCCUGGUCACAUACAUUGAGCGGGAUAUUUUCUCUGAGGUGAAUGAAGAUGACAUAAUU
rnacentral:rRNA from 1 species